ACUCCUACGGGAGGCAGCAGUGGGAAUAUUGGACAAUGGGCGAAAGCCUGAUCCAGCCAUGCCGCGUGUGUGAAGAAGGCCUUCGGGUUGUAAAGCACUUUCAGCGAGGAAGAACGCUUGUGGGUUAAUACCCGCAAGAAGGACAUCACUCGCAGAAGAAGCACCGGCUAACUCCGUGCCAGCAGCCGCGGUAAUACGGAGGGUGCAAGCGUUAAUCGGAAUUACUGGGCGUAAAGCGCGCGUAGGCGGCUUGAUAAGCCGGUUGUGAAAGCCCGGCUGCAACCUGGGAACGGCAUCCGGAACUGUCAGGCUAGAGUGCAGGAGAGGAAGGUAGAAUUCCCGGUGUAGCGGUGAAAUGCGUAGAGAUCGGGAGGAAUACCAGUGGCGAAGGCGGCCUUCUGGACUGACACUGACGCUGAGGUGCGAAAGCGUGGGUAGCAAACAGGAUUAGAUACCCUGGUAGGCUCUG
rnacentral:rRNA from 1 species